UCAAUAAUUCCAUGCUAAUAAGGAAGCAUAAUCAGAUUCACUCACUAGGGACCAGCAACAAAUCCAAAGGGGAAAAAGUGGCCUGCAAACAAGAAGACAGUGCACACAAAAUUGGCUUGAAGUGAAAUCGAUAUCGAUGUAACCCUGAACAAGCACCAACUAUUCGAACGGAAAGGCACAAAAAAAUAAGCGUGGUGGAGUUGAAAUCAAUUAAGUGUACCUUGAAAAUCAACUGGAGAGAUGAGCGACAGUUCUUGGUUGGCCCUUGUUCUAGAGCAAAAACCCGAAAUCAAGGAUGAACACAAAAUUAGUCCUCUUUAUUACCACCUUUCACACAUCAAUGGUCACAGUAAGAUUCAGUCGGUAGAUUCUUUGUAAAGGGAAAAUGUGGCCUGCACACAAGAAGACAUUGCACACAAAACUGAGGGGAUCGACAAUUUUCAAGCAGUGUGCUGGAGCUGGAAUCGCCGAAUUUACCUUGAAUUGGGCGGAGAGAUGAGGGAAGGAUCCCUUGAUCCAGAGGAAAAAGCUAGCUAGAUCUCCCUUGUUCUGUGAGAAGUAACAGUGGUCCAGAUCUGGCAAGUGAGCAGACAAAUCUGGCAACUGCACUUAAUUUGUACACAAAUCUGCCAAUGUCUGAGCUUAAUUUGUACCGCAAACUCCAGAGAUGUAAAAACUGGAAGCUUUUCUUCUUGUACUAGAAAAGUCUGAGCUUAGUUUGGACAGCACAUCGGAGCUUAAACUAAGAGAAAACAAACCGAAAACCCGGUGCUUUCCGGUAGACAGAUCAAAUGAAAGCAGAGAUUUGUAAUAAACAAGUCCCCAUUAAGAUCUGAGGAUCCACUAGGUGGGAGUGGGACGAGGAAGGAGCGGGUCCUCACCUCCUUGGGCGCCGGCGGCAGUGCCGGACGAAGUAACUGGCGGCCGGCGGAGGCUGAACCACUGGAGAGGGAGGGAGGG
rnacentral:lncRNA from 1 species